GAGGCAUAUGAUAAUGGUAAUAAACUAAAAUCCAGAUCUUUCAUGUUCCAACAAAAAUUAAGCCCAGAAAAAAACAGAAAAUGAAGGGAAGAAGAAUGAAUCCAGAAACCAGAUUCAAACUCAUGUCACCCUAACACAAUGCACAUACAUUUCUGAUGCUCCUUGCCAAGGCCCAAAGCUACUGACCUCCAGUGACAUUUGAACGGGAUGAGAUACUGUCCAUGAAUGAGGCUAUUGAGGUUGACCCAAAGAGUGUUGAAUUAGUGAGGUUGUGGGGCCUCCUGUGGCUUUAAAUACUCAUGCCCUAUAUGAGGCUACAGUGUCAUUCAUUAUCCGGUUCAUCAUGUAUUCCUCUUCUCAGACAAUGCCAUCCCUCACAGCUCCGACUGCAACCGCGGCCAAUGAGAGAUGAUGUGAGGCCAAUUUCCACUGCAAUGUAUUCAAGCCUUCAGAGACCUGAUUUAUUGACAGGCAUUGACAGAAUAAUCCAGCAAUGGUCCACUGAAGAACAAAAGUCAUUCAGAUUUGGAAUGACAUUAAGAAAAGGAAAUGAUGACAGAAAAUUCAUUUUUGGAUGAACUACCCUUAUAAUCCCAGAUCCAAGGGAAUUUUCACUGUAUUAAGUUUGUGGUUGCUGUUCCAUGGAGAC